rnacentral:rRNA from 1 species
GUGCCAGCCGCCGCGGUAAUACCGGCAGCUCGAGUGAUGGCCGAUCUUAUUGGGCCUAAAGCGUCCGUAGCUGGCUGCGCAAGUCCGUUGGGAAAUCGACGCGCUCAACGCGUCGGCGUCCAGCGGAAACUGUCCGGCUUGGGGCCGGAAGACCUGAGGGGUACGUCCGGGGUAGGAGUGAAAUCCUGUAAUCCUGGACGGACCACCAAUGGGGAAACCACCUCAGGAAGACGGACCCGACGGUGAGGGACGAAAGCUAGGGUCUCGAACCGGAUUAGAUACCCCAGUAGUCC